rnacentral:tRNA from 1 species
AUUUAUAUAGUUUAAAUUAAAACAUUACAUUUUCAUUGUAAAAAUAAAACAAUUCUUUUUUAUAAAUA